GUGCCGUGAGGUCGGGGUUUGAAAAUGGUACAAACAUUCUGAUAGACCUUUCGUGUGAAGUUGCUGCAUAGUUGUGUGAGCCGAAAAUCUUCUCUUAUUAACCACCACGAGCUGCAGUAUGGGGCCCUGAACUGAGGACAGGAGACGUGCCAUAGAUACUGCAGUCAAAGAAGAGAAGAGGAACACAGUGUGAAAAACUAGAGUUAAUGCUCGAGGUGGGAGUUGGAUUGCACAUCGGGAAUCGGCACCAGCGUUCCAGACAGCCGUUUCCACAGUUCUCCACCUUGCAAGGUGGCCCAGUUCAGGUGAGCUUGCAGCACACCAUAUGCCUUUCUGAGGCACCAGGCAGUUAUUUUUGGAUCGAAGUGGAGGGCCUGCUGUCCCCCAGCAUGCUUCCAAAGUCAUCUGCCAGAAGUCAUCUAUUUAUACUGCUCUACAUUUAAAGGCAAAUGGCGUCAAAACCCUUUAGAGGAUUGUCUGGGCUUGAGCUGGGGGUGGGUGGGAGAGCGCUGCUUUGCCAAAUCAAAGUUUGACCAUUGUGGAGAUUGUGAUGAGCAACAGUUGAGACACACAGUGAAGUUACAGUGCAGUACAAAAUUACAUUUUUCUCUCCGGUUCUUAUGUAUAUCUUUUUUUUUUUUCCUGUUUAACAAAUUACUUUAUUAAAGCUGUAUGUCUUUAAGGUCACUACUUUUGCUCAUUGAUUUGAGGUUAUAGUUAUUAACACUUCUGUUCAUAUUAUCCAGUCUUGUUUUAAAACUUUCAUUUGGAGCUGCAACUACAUUGUAAUAGAAUAGUUUGCUUUGUAGAGGUUGGAAUAAGCUCUGAGGGUGACGGGAGUACAUGCAAAAGCAGCGACCACACAAUUAGAGCAGCGCUAUGCUGCAACCCUGUUUCUGUUGAACAACAUGAAACAGUGACGGGGAAAGAGGGCCCUGCUCUCCUCCAGCUGCCCGAAUCGCAUUUCUGAAAGCUGUUUGAAGGGAAACCGACUUGGGACGCGAUUUCGAAAUGAUUUACGUCUAUCUCAGGGUGACCAGACGAGUUGGAAGAGUGACGCCGCCCUUCAUAUGGAUGGAACGUGGGAAAAAGAAAGGCAGAAUGAGAGAUGGAAGUCUGGCUGCUGUUCAAAACGCAUUUUUGAAUCCUGCGAGUGGCAAAUCAGCGAUAUUUUUACAUGGGCAGAGCCUUCACGGAAACCCUUUGAAGGAUGCCCGGCUCACUGCUGUCUAUUCCAGUGCCCUUCAUCCAGCUGGCUCCAGAGCACGGCCAGCUUUGGAAAGACGGCGCUGGAGACGCCCAGGCCAAGUUAGCGAACGGCUAAUCCGUCCGCGUCGCGCAGGACGGCAAAUGCAUAAUGCGAGCUUCCCCAAGCAAAAGCACUUGUGACGUACAGCGGCGGCUCUCGAGGUGUGCAUGUGGACCCGCUUAUUCUCUCCAGAUGGCCCCAGAGCUGUGUCAGCCUUAUAAAUGCGUAACAAAAAUAAAAUAGCUUCACUGCUAUGGAACAUUAACCCAUAUGUCCGUUGGAAUUUUUGUUUAUGUUUGGGGAUUGUUACUUUAUUAAUUUUAUUUUCUACUUGAGUUCCUCAGUAUAAAGGCAAAAGCAGGUCCUUGUAGCAAAUGGUAGAAUUAAUUGCUCGUUUAGUGAUUAUUUUGGAGGGAAAUGAAGAUUUUUUUUUUUUAAAUUUAUUUUACUUUUUCUUUCUUGUUUUGGUAAGUCCAGAAACCCAGAUGUGCAGCCCAAAAGCCUUUGACUGCCGCUCUUUCCCUUAAAAGCUCGUUCCAUGACACGCCUUUAUCUCUCGGACCCCCAUAGAUCACCGCUUUCAUCUGGCUGAGACCUCGAGUUCCCUGUGUGUUCCCUCUCCAACGUCUCCGAGAUGCCGUUCACCCUGACACAGUGUGGAAACUAUUUUCAGGGCCCGCUUCAUUCAAAACAGUUCUUUUCCAAUUCAUUAGUCGAAGCUGCAGGAGAAGUCUGAGUCCAAUGUGGUGUUCUGUGACGCUGCUCUACAACUCGGCUACAAAAAUAACGGUCUGAUUUGUCUUAAGUGCACGCUGUUUAGGCACCAGAGCAUGCAUAUAGCAUGUAUAUAGUUUUUUCUUCUUUUCACAACAUGGUUUGUAGGACCUUACUGCUUGGGUCAUUUCUUGGCUUGUAAUAAGACAUUUUUGUAAGAAAAUAUUUUUUUUAAUGCAAAGUGUAGGCAGAGCAUUAGUGUCAAGUGCUUGUGAAAACUUGAACGUAAUUGUGAAAUGAGUGGCGGCACUAUUAUCCGCAGCACUCAGUCAGCGAUGUGUUAUUCUGCUCGGGGCUGUGGAAGCCCGUCUCCCCAGCGAGUAUUUAGUCUUCAGUUUGCAUUUGAAAAUUCAGAGUGAUUCUGCAGCUCUUGCAGACCUCAGAAGCUUGUUGAACCCCAGCGGAGCCUGCUGGAGCUACCCUGCAACAUGGGGGGGGGGGGCUGCCCAGGCCUUAGGUUCAGCUGCUAUUCAUCUAACACAGAAGGUUGCACUGAGCUUGUCUGGGUUAAGUGCUCUGAGGUCGUGGGGUUUGAAGAUUGAUAUGAGGCAUUCCAGCACUUUCAGAAGUUGCAGAACACGGAUUAAGAGUUUCGGCCAGGAUCCCUUGCAAGAUGCAUUAAACCAGCCCAUUAGUCUCCUCAGAGAUAUACACACACA